GCUUCUGGGAAGUAGGGUUUACAGACUCUGACUCUGACCUUUGGACCCGUCAAUGCCAGAGGAAGCAAAAUAAAUGUCAGUGUUCAGAGUAGUUUGGUUUCUUAAUUAAAUGCAUUGAAAAACGGUUGGAAAUAAGAAGUCCUGUGUUCCCUGCACAGGCCCUUGGUUUCCAUCCUCUGUCCACCGCCUGGAGUGCCUUGCUUUCACACUGCAGUUUAAGCCUGAGUUGUAUGACCUGGCUCUGGAAGAAAACCAUCUGGAGUUCCAAUCCUAGCCCUUCCACUUUCUAACUUUGCAACCUAAGAAUGGGAACAAUCAUCCUGGUCCAGCCAGUCCCUGCCUCCCCAGGCUGAUGGGAGGCAUAUGAGGUCAUGUCUGAGAAGGGCUUUGAUCUACCUGGAACAAGCCAUGAGGGUGUCUUUACUCAGUGUACACAACCAAACAACAAGCCAAGGAAAUGUGAUCUUCUGGAGAAGCCACGGGGUGAGGAUUUCAUCUCCUCCAGGUGCCCAAAGCCCUACUUUGCCUUCCUGCAAAGACUUUUGAGCAUCUACCAUGUGCCAGCACGGUAUCCAAUGUCUUAGCACAUUCACGAUCUAGGGAGAGAGCCCACAUGUCCACAAAUUCUGUAACUGUGAUUUUUUUUUUAUGAGGACCCAUCACAUACUGGGAAAACCAUCUCAUAUAACCCUGAGAAGAAGGUAAGAUGACCCCAGUGUCCAGAAAAGAGACAAAGCCCUGAGAAGUGAACUGAUCUGUGCAAGGUCACCUAUGGCCAGUAAACAAUAGAACUGUCUGCCUCCACUUCCAGUCUGAUGGUGGCCACAGCUGCCGGCAUCAGAGGGAAGAACUAACUGGAGGCACCAAGACUCCAUGCAAUGAGAAUGCAGGACCAAGAUCAAGUGGUUCCACCAGGCUUCACACACACGGUGGCCUUAGCCUGGUUUCUCUGCUCAGCUCAUCCGGAGAUCAGUACAAUAAUGAGUUCUUCCAGGUUUUAUGACACAAUAAUUAAUGGUUAUAGAUUACCCUGAAGCCAGAGUGGGCGAAAGAAGUUUCACUGGCCUAGGAAAAUGUUUCCUCCUCCUUUUCUUCCUCUUGACGAUGAUGACAUUGAUGAUGAUGACCAUUUCCAUUUAUUGAGUUUUAAGCAUUGGCCAGAGACUGCUCAUACGUUUUUAAAGUUUAUUUGUUUCUUCAAUGAGUAAGGGAAAUGUGGGUGUGGAGGGAGGAGACAGGGAGGCAGCACCCCAUAGUGUCCAGAUGCCACAAUCCACCCCAGCUUCAGCCAGCCACAGAUCAUUAGUAUCCACAGGCCUGGCAUAAUAAGGGGGGCUCCAUGAACUCAGGUAGGUCACUCUUGCAGAACACUGCAUUAUACCGCUGUGACACCAUCCAGGUCCUUCCAAGCACCAUUUCAAGAAGUCUUCACAAUAACUCUUGGAGAUUUGUAUUAUUAGCCACAGAGUAGCAAUAAGGAAACCCAAGCUCAGAGAAGGGAAGUAAUUGCUCAAGGUCUCACAGCUUGGAAAUGAUGCAGUUGGGCUUUAAGCCAGCUUUGACUAACUCCGAAGACCAAACACUUAGCCAUAAUUUCAGAUGUUCAUUUCAUAAUUCAUAAUUUCAUAUAUGUGUGUCUCCUGCACUGGCUUUUGAGAUGCCAUGGUUACUUUGUCUUCCCCAAAUCUCAAGGGAGAAAUGGUGCAGAACAAUGUAACAUGUGGGCCUCUAAAAAUGACCACAUCAUUUCACAGUGCACUGGUGGGACUUGGAGCAGGCUGCUGUCCACUUGCUAGGAGCAGUGGCCCACUAUGGUCUAUCGACACUUAGCUUCCAUUUUUAUCUCCUUCUGCCCCUUUCUCCUGCAGAGGCCACCAAGCAUUUCCAAGAUACUCCAGUACUCAGGACUCUGGAUAGAAAU